UUGUAAAUCAUUUGCGGCGCAAUUGAAAUUCGAUUCUUUGAACUAGCACAAAUUAUGCGAAUAUUCAUGUUUCAAAUUGAGACAUAUCAGAGCAAUAAAUUUUUCAAAAUGUGACAUUUUGUAGUAUUUGUCGGUAUUGCACAGAACUGUAUAAAUACUCCGUAAAUGAAUGGUGGAAAUCAUUCGCAAUUCCAACUACGCAAGUACAUUUUACAGAAGCAUUUGGAUCUUGGAAAAUCAAAAAAAAGAGAAAUGGCGUUCGGUUAUUUAAUGAACAUUGCAGUUAUGACGGUGCUCGCUGUUUGUCAGUUUGCUGUGUUUGCUGAAGCUCAAUUUGGAAGCAGCAGGAUAGGAACAGGAGGAGGAGUCGGAGGAGGAGGACAUGGAGGAGCUGUCGGAAAAUGAAUAUCAGUUCGUGUUCGAGGAAAUCAUGUUGCAGAAUCAAUCAAAUUAAGCAUACUUAUUCAAACCACAAUGGUCACCAAAUUUAUCAAUUUACCGGAAUUCACGUUUAUUUAGUUUAAGGUUUAAUGUACGCGUACUUGGGUAUCUAGUUCUUAUUCGCACACCAUAAUAAAAUAAAUUCAGCAUCUUAAAUGGC